UCGAACGGCAUCGCGGGAAAGCUUGCUUUCCUGGCGGCGAGUGGCGAACGGGUGAGUAACACAUCGGAACGUACCGGCUAGUGGGGGAUAACCCGUCGAAAGACGGACUAAUACCGCAUAUGCUCUUCGGAGGAAAGCAGGGGACCUUUGGGCCUUGCGCUAGUCGAGCGGCCGAUGUCCGAUUAGCUAGUUGGUGGGGUAAAGGCCUACCAAGGCGACGAUCGGUAGCGGGUCUGAGAGGACGAUCCGCCACACUGGGACUGAGACACGGCCCAGACUCCUACGGGAGGCAGCAGUGGGGAAUCUUGGACAAUGGGGGCAACCCUGAUCCAGCAAUGCCGCGUGGGUGAAGAAGGCCUUCGGGUUGUAAAGCUCUUUCGGCGGGGGCGAUGAUGACGGUAUCCGCAGAAGAAGCCCCGGCAAACUUCGUGCCAGCAU
rnacentral:rRNA from 1 species